rnacentral:rRNA from 1 species
AGUGAACGCUGGCGGUAGGCCUAACACAUGCAAGUCGAACGGCAGCACAGUAAGAGCUUGCUCUUACGGGUGGCGAGUGGCGGACGGGUGAGGCAUACAUCGGAAUCUACUUUUUCGUGGGGGAUAACGUAGGGACACUUACGCUAAUACCGCAUACGACCUACGGGUGAAAGCAGGGGAUCUUCGGACCUUGCGCGAUUGAAUGAGCCGAUGUCGGAUUAGCUAGUUGGCGGGGUAAAGGCCCACCAAGGCGACGAUCCGUAGCUGGUCUGAGAGGAUGAUCAGCCACACUGGAACUGAGACACGGUCCAGACUCCUACGGGAGGCAGCAGUGGGGAAUAUUGGACAAUGGGCGCAAGCCUGAUCCAGCCAUACCGCGUGGGUGAAGAAGGCCUUCGGGUUGUAAAGCCCUUUUGUUGGGAAAGAAAAGCAGCAGGUUAAUACCCCGCUGUUCUGACGGUACCCAAAGAAUAAGCACCGGCUAACUUCGUG